CAAUAGCGUAUAUUAAAGUUGUUGCAGUUAAAAAGCUCGUAGUUGGAUUUCGGGGCAGCCUGGCUGGUCCGCCGCAAGGCGAGUACUGGUCAGCCGCCCUUCCUCUCGAAGGCCCCGACUGCUCUUUAUUGCAGUGGUCGGGUAGUUCGGGACGUUUACUUUGAAAAAAUUAGAGUGUUCAAGGCAGGCCUACGCCUGAAUACAUUAGCAUGGAAUAAUGGAAGAGGACCUCGGUCCUAUUUUGUUGGUUUCCAGGACCGAAGUAAUGAUUAAGAGGGACAGUUGGGGGCAUUCGUAUUUAAUUGUCAGAGGUGAAAUUCUCGGAUUUAUGAAAGACGAACAACUGCGAAAGCAUUUGCCAAGGAUGUUUUCAUUAA
rnacentral:rRNA from 1 species